rnacentral:rRNA from 1 species
CGGCAAUGGAGGAAACUCUGACCGAGCAACGCCGCGUGAACGAUGAAGUAUUUCGGUACGUAAAGUUCUUUUAUUAGGGAAGAAUAAAUGAUGGAAAAAUCAUUCUGACGGUACCUAAUGAAUAAGCCCCGGCUAACUAUGUGCCAGCAGCCGCGGUAAUACAUAGGGGGCAAGCGUUAUCCGGAAUUAUUGGGCGUAAAGGGUGCGUAGGCGGUUAAAUAAGUUUAUGGUCUAAGUGUAAUGCUCAACAUUGUGAUGCUAUAAAAACUGUUUAGCUAGAGUAAGAUAGAGGCAAGUGGAAUUCCAUGUGUAGUGGUAAAAUGCGUAAAUAUAUGGAGGAACACCAGUAGCGAAGGCGGCUUGCUGGGUCUUUACUGACGCUGAGGCACGAAAGCGUGGGGAGCAAACAGGGUUAGAUACCCUGGUAGUCCACGCCGUAAACGAUGAGUACUAAACGUUGGGUAAAACCAGUGUUGAAGUUAACACAUUAAGUACUCCGCCUGAGUAGUACGUACGCAAGUAUGAAACUUAAAGGAAUUGACGGGACUCCGCACAAGCGGUGGAUCAUGUUGUUUAAUUCGAAGGUACCCGAAAAACCUCACCAGGUCUUGACAUGCUUCUGCAAAGCUGUAGAAACACAGUGGAGGUUAUCAGUUGCACAGGUGGUGCAUGGUUGUCGUCAGCUCGUGUCGUGAGAUGUUGGGUUAAGUCCCGCAACGAGCGCAACCCUUAUUGUUAGUUACCAGCACGUAAUGGUGGGGACUUUAGCAAGACUGCCAGUGAUAAAUUGGAGGAAGGUGGGGACGACGUCAAAUCAUCAUGCCCCUUAUGACCUGGGCUACAAACGUGAUACAAUGGCUGUUACAAAGAGUAGCUGAA